AAAAACUCAAAUUAAUUAAUUAACAUUUUCAUAAAUAGUAAGAUUAUUUUUUUAAGAGAAAACGAACUAAAAAAAAAAAGAGAUAGUGGCUUAGCUUUUUCUUUUGGUUUUUUGGGCUGCAGGGCAGUGGAAAUGGAAGGAGCCACAGUGGCUGCUGCAGCACCACUCUUACCAGUCUUUCUUCGCAGAGGGAUCCACACCACACUGCAGUAGAUCGAGCAAAUCAAAACUAUAUUGAGAAAAAAAAAGAGAGAGAAAAAAUAUAAAAAGAUGAAAAAUAAAAAAGAAGUUGAUCUUACCGUGCAUCUUCUUCUUCUCUUCCUUGGAGAUUCUCUAGUUCUUGCUGAAAGGAUGGAAAAUCAAGAGACAGAGGAGAGAAAUCGGAAUAGAAAGGGUUUUAGUCUUUGAGAUGAGGUAUCUUGAAGAAGCUGAUGGAGGUUUUAACUUUUGAGGGAGUUAGGGUUUGAGGAAGACUAGAUCGUUGAGGAAAGAAGCUCGGAGUCUGUCGAUCUAGAGGGAUUUAGAGCCUUAGAGGUCAAUCUUUCCCAUGCAGCAAGAUUUCAGGCUCUCACCGCUCGGAGUUGGUUGAUCAGUUGAUGGAAGCGGCAAAGGUGUGAAUGGGUAGGCUAGUAGUUUAGUCAAUAGAAGAAAACCUGGAAACCCUAAGGAACGGGGGUCGGUGGAUGGAAGAACUGAAGAACCUCAAAACCCUCAAAGACUAGAUGGAAUGUGGCGGAGAACCAGAGAAGAAGUUGCUAGAGAAGAGAAUAGAGAUGGACAGACUCAUGGAGUACCUAUAGUGAUCGGUGGAUGGAAGAACCGAAGAACCUCAAAACCCUCAAGGAUGAAAGAUCGGAUGGUAAGUGGAACAGGGGAAGAGAACCAGCGUCCAGGGAAGAAGUCUCUAGAGAAGAGAUCGAGAGAAUGGAGACGGACAACGACGGACUGAUGAAGAAUGGACAGUGGACUGGAGAAUGCAGUACGGCGCCUGAGUAGGACCACGUGGGCGGCCGAAGGCCAGAAGGCAGGAUUUAGGCAUUUAGCUUUAUAUAGUAACGGGUCGGGUCGGGUCCCGGAUCAAGAUUGGGUGGACCCGACCCGAAAAAUAGAUCGGGUCUAAAUUUAGGACCCGACCCGGCCCCGCGGGUCCUAAAAUUCGGGUCGGGUCGGGUCUAAAGCGGGUCGGGUCGGGUCGGGUCCCGGGUCGACCCGACCCAUUUGCAGCCUUAG
rnacentral:lncRNA from 1 species